GGGCGUAUGGUCUAGUGGUACGACGUCUCAUUUGCAAGGGUAUUUUCCGUUUGCUCCUCAAGCUUCUAUGAAAGGGGUCCGAAUGUGACACACUUUGCUUACCUGUGAAGGUCCCGGGUUCGAACCCCGGUGCGUCCA